CACAGAGUUAGCCGGUGCUUCUUCUGGGGCUAACGUCAAAAUGUUUGGAUAUUAACCAAACACCCUUCCUCACCCCUGAAAGUGCUUUACAACCCUAAGGCCUUCUUCACACACGCGGCAUGGCUGGAUCAGGCUUGCGCCCAUUGUCCAAUAUUCCCCACUGCUGCCUCCCGUAGGAGUCUGGGCCGUGUCUCAGUCCCAGUGUGACUGGCCAUCCUCUCAGACCAGUUAAAGAUCGUCGCCUUGGUAGGCCUUUACCCUACCAACUAGCUAAUCUUACGCAGGCUCAUCUAAUAGCGAAAGGUCCGAAGAUCCCCCUCCUUUCCCCCGUAGGGCGUAUGCGGUAUUAGCAUGCGUUUCCACAUGUUGUCCCCCAUACCUAGGCAGAUUCCUACGCGUUACUCCACCCGUCCGCCGCUCGACGCCCUGUAGCAAGCUACAUCGUUUUCCGCUCGACUUGCAUGUGUUAAGCCUGCCGCAGCGUUCAAUCUGAGCCAGGAUCAAACU
rnacentral:rRNA from 1 species